rnacentral:tRNA from 1 species
CACCGUGGUCUAGCGGUCAGAACGCUGGCCUUGUAAUCCUGGGGUCUCGGGUUCGAUUCCCGGCGGUG